UCCCCCCACCCCAGUUUGGAUCCCCAAGAGUCCUCUGUGGCUGGCUCCAGUGGCGUGAUAUCAGUGCCAGGGCACACCCAGGCCCGUCCCGUCAGAACAAUAUUAUCUGUCCUAGCUGCUCUGUGCUGAGCGCCUUCUCCAAGCUGGCACUGCGCGCUGGGGUUUCCUUAAGAGACCUCCACGGAGCCCGUGCACACACCCCUGUUUAGCAGGUGGGGAGACGGAGGCUCAGAGAUGCAAACCAACUGGCCCCGGCCAGGGUGCAGCCGAGAUCCCAGCCUGCCUGACCGGAAACACGCCACCUCUGCACCCUGCAUCCGAGCUCAGCCAUACGAAGCUGUGAAUCUGAGUGUCUGUUCAGCAGGAAGAAAGGUGGACUCUUACACCAGGUCCCUGUCACUCAGGCCCCAAGCAAAAGAUGGUUGCCAGCCUGGCAGCUCCUUUGAGGUCUCCUCUACCACCGUUCUCAGGAUGUAUCUGCUGAAUCCAUGCUGAAUGGAUGAGCCAGACGUCUCUGGAAGUCAAUGCUGACAUCCAGACACUCUCAGGACCCCCUCAGAAAUAAGGUGUUUCAUGGACACGUGACCCGACAUGUCUUUGAUGUUCAUCAGGCUUCCCAGAGUCCUGCUCAUGUCCAGGUACUGCAAGGAGAGCCAAGGGGCCUCAGGGGCGGUGCCCGGCCCCCAGCUGCUCC